rnacentral:rRNA from 1 species
AUUGAACGCUGGCGGCAUGCUUUACACAUGCCAGUCGGACGGCAGCACAGAGAAGCUUGCUUCUUGGGUGGCGAGUGGCGAACGGGUGAGUAACAUAUCGGAACGUACCGAGCAGUGGGGGAUAACUAAUCGAAAGAUUAGCUAAUACCGCAUAUUUUCUGAGGAAGAAAGCCGGGGACCUUUGGGCCUUGCGCUGUUUGAGCGGCCGAUAUCUGAUUAGCUAGUUGGUGGGGUAAAGGCCUACCAAGGCGACGAUCAGUAGCGGGUCUGAGAGGAUGAUCCGCCACACUGGGACUGAGACACGGCCCAGACUCCUACGGGAGGCAGCAGUGGGGAAUUUUGGACAAUGGGCGCAAGCCUGAUCCAGCCAUGCCGCGUGUCUGAAGAAGGCCUUCGGGUUGUAAAGGACUUUUGUCAGGGAAGAAAAGGGCGGGGUUAAUACCCCUGUCUGAUGACGGUACCUGAAGAAUAAGCACCGGCUAACUACGUG